rnacentral:piRNA from 1 species
UAUAAAGCAGGGGCCAUUAUCAGUU